UUUAUAUUUAUUUAUUUAUUUAUUGAUUAUAUAUAUAUAUAUAAAUAUUAAAAAUAGUUAUAAAAUUUUAAUUUUUAGUAUUAAUUAUAGAAAAAAUAAAAUUAAUUAUAGUUUAUUAGUAUUGAAAAAGAAAUUUGAAAUAUUAUGAAAAAUAAUAAUUAAAAAAGAAAAAUUUAUUUUUUGUACCUUGUGUAUCAGGGUUUAUUAAAUAAUAUUUAAAAAUUUAAAUUUCUCGAUUUUAAAAGAUUUAAUAUAUUAAUAAAUAUAAAGUAAAAAAUUUAUUUUUAAUAAUAUAUUUGAAAUGAAAUGUUUUUCGUUUUUAAAGGUAUCUAGUUUUUUAAGAAAUAAAUUUAAUUUAUAAAUUUUAUAUUAUUUAUUUGAUUAAGAAAAUAAGUAAUUAUUUAAUUUUAAUAUUUUAUGGGAUAAGCUAUAAAAUAAAAAUUUAAAAAUAAUAAUAAGUUUAAUAAAAUAUAGGGUUAAAAUUAUUCAAUAUUAAAAAAAAUGUAAUAAUUUAUUAUUAUAAAAUAAUAAUUUUAUAAAUUUUAAUUAUUUAUUAAUAUAUAAUUUUUAAUUAUAAUAAAUUAGAAAUAAUGAUAGAAUUAGUAUAAUAAUUUAUAUAAAUAAUAAUAAAUUUUAAUUUUUUUUAAAGAAUUCAGCAAAUAUUAAUAUUCACCUGUUUAACAAAAACAUCUCUUUAUGAUUGAAUAUAAAGUUUAACCUGCCCACUGAAAUUUUAAAUGGCUGCAGUAUAUUGACUGUACAAAGGUAGCAUAAUCAUUAGUUUUUUAAUUGAGAACUGGAAUGAAUGGUUGGAUGAAAUAUUAACUGUUUCAAAAAAAAUUUAUUAGAAUUUUAUUUUUUAGUAAAAAAGCUAAAAUUUUUUUAAAAGACGAGAAGACCCUAUAAAUCUUAUAUAUAAUAUUAUAAAUAUAAAUUAAUUAGAAGAUUUUAAUUUAUUUAUUUUUUAUAUUUUAUUGGGGAGAUAAUAAAAUUUAAUAAACUUUUAUUUUAUAGAUUCAUUGAUUUAUGAAUUAUUGAUUAAUUAUUAAUGAAUAAAAAAAUAAGUUACUUUAGGGAUAACAGCGUAAUUAUUUUGGAGAGUUCAUAUUGAUAAAAUAGA
rnacentral:rRNA from 1 species